GACGAACGCUGGCGGCGUGCUUAACACAUGCAAGUCGAACGGAAAGGCCCUGCUUUUGUGGGGUGCUCGAGUGGCGAACGGGUGAGUAACACGUGAGUAACCUGCCCUUGACUUUGGGAUAACUUCAGGAAACUGGGGCUAAUACCGGAUAGGAGCUCCUGCUGCAUGGUGGGGGUUGGAAAGUUUCGGCGGUUGGGGAUGGACUCGCGGCUUAUCAGCUUGUUGGUGGGGUAGUGGCUUACCAAGGCUUUGACGGGUAGCCGGCCUGAGAGGGUGACCGGCCACAUUGGGACUGAGAUACGGCCCAGACUCCUACGGGAGGCAGCAGUGGGGAAUAUUGCACAAUGGGCGGAAGCCUGAUGCAGCAACGCCGCGUGCGGGAUGACGGCCUUCGGGUUGUAAACCGCCUUCGCCUGUGACGAAGCGUGAGUGACGGUAAUGGGUAAAGAAGCACCGGCUAACUACGU
rnacentral:rRNA from 1 species